ACCAGACUCCUACGGGAGGCAGCAGUGGGGAAUAUUGCACAAUGGGGGAAACCCUGAUGCAGCGACGCCGCGUGAGUGAAGAAGUAAUUCGUUAUGUAAAGCUCUAUCAGCAGGGAAGAAAAUGACGGUACCUGAGUAAGAAGCCCCGGCUAACUACGUGCCAGCAGCCGCGGUAAUACGUAGGGGGCAAGCGUUAUCCGGAUUUACUGGGUGUAAAGGGAGCGUAGACGGCAGUGCAAGUCUGGAGUGAAAGGCGGGGGCUCAACCCCGGGACUGCAUUGGAAACUGUCAGGCUAGAGUGUCGGAGAGGCAAGUGGAAUUCCUAGUGUAGCGGUGAAAUGCGUAGAUAUUAGGAGGAACACCAGUGGCGAAGGCGGCUUGCUGGACGAUGACUGACGUUGAGGCUCGAAAGCGUGGGGAGCAAACAGGAUUAGAUACCCGAGUAGC
rnacentral:rRNA from 1 species